GGUUCUAGCCCUGUUGGUAGAGCAUGAGACUCAUAAUCUCAGAGUAGUGGGUUUGUGUCCCACGUUGGGCCA
rnacentral:tRNA from 1 species